GAUGAACGCUGGCGGCGUGCCUAAUACAUGCGAGUCGAGCGAACAGACGAGGAGCUUGCUCCUCUGACGUUAGCGGCGGACGGGUGAGUAACACGUGGAUAACCUACCUAUAAGACUGGGAUAACUUCGGGAAACCGGAGCUAAUACCGGAUAAUAUAUUGAACCGCAUGGUUCAAUAGCGAAAGACGGUUUUGCUGUCACUUAUAGAUGGAUCCGCGCCGCAUUAGCUAGUUGGUAAGGUAACGGCUUACCAAGGCAACGAUGCGUAGCCGACCUGAGAGGGUGAUCGGCCACACUGGAACUGAGACACGGUCCAGACUCCUACGGGAGGCAGCAGUAGGGAAUCUUCCGCAAUGGGCGAAAGCCUGACGGAGCAACGCCGCGUGAGUGAUGAAGGUCUUCGGAUCGUAAAACUCUGUUAUUAGGGAAGAACAAAUGUGUAAGUAACUAUGCACGUCUUGACGGUACCUAAUCAGAAAGCCACGGCUAACUACGU
rnacentral:rRNA from 1 species